AUUGAUUGAUACUUAUGCUGGAUGCUUGGUGGUCGAAAGGUGACGCCCUUGGAUGGGUCUGCGGCGGAUUAGGUUGACGCCGGUGUAACGUACCGGCGUGCCUGUAAUCCGUACGGGUUGUGGGAGCAAGAGCCCGGAGAUGGAUUCUGAGACACGAAUCCAGGCCCUACGGGGCGCAGCAGGCGCGAAAACUCUACAAUGCAGGCAACUGCGAUAGGGGGACAUCGAGUGGCAUCCACCUUGGGUGCCUGUCCCACCGUCUAAAAAACGGUGGUUAGCAAGGGCCGGGCAAGACCGGUGCCAGCCGCCGCGGUAAUACCGGCGGCUCGAGUGGUGGCCGAUAUUAUUGAGUCUAAAGGGUCCGUAGCCGGCUUUGCAAGUCCCCUGGGAAAUCCAGCGGCUUAACCGUUGGGCUUUCAUGGGAUACUACAUUGCUUGGGACUGGGAGAGGUAGGAGGUACUCGGGGGUAGGGGUGAAAUCCUGUAAUCCCCCGGGGACCACCGGUGGCGAAGGCGUCCUACCAGAACAGGUCCGACGGUGAGGGACGAAAGCUAGGGGCACGAACCGGAUUAGAUACCCGGGUAGUCCUAGCCGUAAACGAUGCCCGCUAGGUGUCACGGCGGUCGUGAAUCGCCGUGGUGCCGUAGGG
rnacentral:rRNA from 1 species